rnacentral:rRNA from 1 species
UACGUAGGUGGCAAGCGUUGUCCGGAUUUACUGGGCGUAAAGAGCGCGCAGGCGGUCGAUCAAGUCGCGUGUGAAAGCCCCCGGCUCAACCGGGGAGGGUCGUUGGGUACGGCGGAGCUUGAGGGCGGUAGAGGUUGGUGGAAUUCCCGGUGUAGUGGUGAAAUGCGUAGAGAUCGGGAGGAACACCUGUGGCGAAGGCGGCCAACUGGGCCGACCCUGACGCUGAGGCGCGAAGGCGUGGGGAGCGAACGGG